rfam:Ovis aries breed Texel chromosome 3, whole genome shotgun sequence.
UCCCUGGUGGCUCAGAUGGUAAAGCGUCUGCCUGCAAUGCGGGAGACCUGGGUUCGAUCCCUGGGUUGGGAA